UUUCACCCUCCAGAAAUUAUUUUAUUUCUUUCUUUCUUGUUCAUUUCUCCCUCUCCUUGUUGUUAUCGUAAUUGUAAUUGCCAGUUGAAAAAAGAUUACGCUCGAAAUGGAUUUUCUCUUCAGAGGCCUAAAUGAGGAUUCUUCAUCUUCCCAAAUGGACAUUCUCAGAUGUCCAUUUUUGAGAAACAUUAACGAGCCAACUAACUUUUCCUUCUCGUCUGCCAUGCCUUUCGCCAUGCCGGUUCGAGGAGCCAAAGGUCCAUAUUUGAAGAUGGUCCCAAUUUCGACAUGGCAUUCAGGCUUUUCCAUGGACGUGAUG